UACAACAAAAAGGAGAGUAGCCCUACAACACGGAGAAUAGCACUACAACAAGAAGAAUAGCCCUACAACACGAAGAAUAGCCCUACAACACAGGAGAAUAGCCCUACAACACAGGAGAGUAGCCCUACAACACAGGAGUGUAGCCACAACACAGGAUGUAGCCUACACACAAGGAGAAUAGCACUACAACAGGAGUAUAGCCCUACAAAGGAGUAUAGCCCUACAACAUAGGAGUAAGCCCUACAACAAAGGAGUAUAGCCCUACAACACAGGAGUAAUGAAGCCCUACAACACGGAAUAUAGAAGCCUACAACACAGGAAUAUACCCUACAACACAGAGAGUAGCCCUACAAUAUAGGAGUAUAGAACCGACAACACAGGAGAAUAGCCUACAACACAGGAGUAGAGCCUACAACACAGGAGAAUAAACUACAACACAGGAGAUAAGAAGCCUUACAACAUAGGAUAUAAGCCACAACAUAGGAGUAUAGCCCUACAACAUAGGAGUAUAGCCCUACAAACACAGGAGUAUAAGCCCUACAGCAUAGGAGUAUAGCCCCUACAACAUAGGAGUAUAGCCCUACACACAGGAUAAGAAGCCUACAACAUAGGAGUAUAGCCCUACAACACAGGAGUAUAGAAGCCUUACAACAUAGGAGUAUAGCCCUACAACACAGGAGUAUAGCCCUACAACAUAGGAGUAUAGCCCUACAACACAGGAGAAUAGCCCUACAACACAGGAGUAUAGCCCUUCAACACAGCAUGGGGAGAAAGCUUCUCUCUCACAAAUAUUCAGUAUGGUAAAGAUAUUAUUUUAGUGGAAAAACACCUUUGAUUAAAAUAUUAUAAUGUUGGUAUAUAUUUAGGAUAAAAAGGAUUGCAAUAAGAUAAGUGCAAUAAGAAAGAUUGACGAUAAACACAUUUUACAGAUUUCUGAAUGCUUAGUUUGCUUCUAUCUAGACUCAGGAUCUGCAUAUUUUAAUAAAUGUAAGGAAACUAUGACCUCGGCUGAUGUAAUGUAUGUUUCUACUCAACUUUAUUCAAUGAAUUUCAGCCCAUGAUUCUGUUACGUUUCCCUCCAGUUGCACAUCUCCUCUGAAUGGUUCUGCUUUCAGGCAUGGUUACA
rnacentral:lncRNA from 1 species